rnacentral:misc_RNA from 1 species
GAAAUGCGAUAAGUAAUGUGAAUUGCAGAAUUCAGUGAAUCAUCGAAUCUUUGAACGCACAUUGCACCCCCCGGUAUUCCGGGGGGCAUGCCUGUUCGAGCGUCAUUUCACCACUCAAGCCUCGCUUGGUAUUGGGCAACGCGGUCCGCCGCGUGCCUCAAAUCGACCGGCUGGGUCUUCUGUCCCCUAAGCGUUGUGGAAACUAUUCGCUAAAGGGUGCUCGGGAGGCUACGCCGUAAAACAACCCCAUUUCUAAGGUUGACCUCGGAUCAGGUAGGGAUACCCGCUGAACUUAAGC